CACAGCAAUCCUGAGAAAGAAGAGCAGAGCUCGAAGUGUCACACUUCUGGAUUUCAAACUAACUACAGAACUACAGUAAUCAAAAUAGUGUAAUAGGGCUUCCCUGGUGGCGCAGUGGUUG